rnacentral:rRNA from 1 species
GACGAACGCUGGCGGCGUGCUUAACACAUGCAAGUCGAGCGGUAAGGCCCUUUCGGGGGUACACGAGCGGCGAACGGGUGAGUAACACGUGGGUGACCUGCCCUCAGCUCUGGGAUAAGCCUGGGAAACCGGGUCUAAUACCGGAUAUGACUCCAUGACGCAUGUUGUGGGGUGGAAAGCCUUGUGCGGCUGAGGAUGGGCCCGCGGCCUAUCAGCUUGUUGGUGGGNGANGGCCUACCAAGGCGACGACGGGUAGCCGGCCUGAGA